rnacentral:rRNA from 1 species
CUUGUACUUGGUGGCGACCGGCGCACGGGUGCGUAACGCGUAUGCAACCUACCUUAUACUGAGGGAUAGCCCAGAGAAAUUUGGAUUAAUACCUCAUAGUAUCAUUUGAAGGCAUCUGAGAAUGAUUAAAGAUUUAUCGGUAUAAGAUGGGCAUGCGUAAGAUUAGUUAGUUGGUGAGGUAACGGCUCACCAAGACUCCGAUGGGUAGGGGUUCUGAGAGGAUGAUCCCCCACACUGGUACUGAGACACGGCCCAGACUCC